GCUAGGUAGGGUGGUGUUUGCCUGUAAUCCCAGCUGCUCAGGAGGCUGAGGCAGGAGGAUCAAAAAUUGAAGGCCAGUCUCUG
rnacentral:sRNA from 1 species